GACAGAGGGUGCAAACGUUGUUCGGAAUUACUGGGCGUAAAGCGUGUGUAGGCUGCUCCGAUAGUCGGAUGUGAAAGCCCUGGGCUCAACCUCGGAUCGGCCGUGGCGACUCGUGGGCUGGAGCACUGUAGAGGCGGGUGGAAUUCCGGGUGUAGCGGUGGAAUGCGUAGAGAUCCGGAAGAACACCAGUGGCGAAGGCGGCCCGCUGGGCAGUGGCUGACGCUGAGGCGCGACAGCGUGGGGAGCAAACAGG
rnacentral:rRNA from 1 species